GGAGUCAGUUAGAGCCCUGUCAGGCGAGCCACUUCAACGACAUACUAACUACCUUGCUGGAAAUGGAAAAAGCCUGCACUGCCGUGAAAGAGGGAGGAGGUGGGGACAGACAGAGAGGCACACAAAGACUCCCAGGGAGUGACUGCUGAGGAGUGAACAAACUAAAGUAAGUCACGGCAGAGAAAUAACUCUGCGUGUCACUACCAACAACCACGACGGAGACGAGGAGAGCGACAAACCUGAGAAGCAAAGAAAAGAAAGAUUAAGAGGAGCCGUGAAUGUUGUUGGUUUCUGGUGUCAUCUCACUUUUCCUCCGCUCCACGUGCAGACAGUCAUCAGUACCUGAGGAAUUAUCCCUCCUAACUCUAAUCUCUGCUAAUCUCUGUCUGCUCGUCUGAGGACUCCUCCUCCGGAUGACGUACCACACGACUCGGCAACAAAUAAAGACACGCUGUGAUAAACAUAACACUUCUUCCCUGAAGGAGUUACCCGACGUCUCCUCCUCAUCAACUGAUCGACUCAUUUCUGUUUUGUUCUUUUGAGUUGUUAGUCUGAGCUCGGCUGAGCGUUUGAGGACAACAAAGUCUCUGACAGGAUGGAUGCCAGAGAAGAGACGCUCGGCCUCCUGAGUAAGAUUUGGUUCAAGCUUCAGAGUCUGCCCGACGCCAGUCCGGUAGAGCUGGGAGCUUUUUUUGUCCUCCUGACCUUCAUCUUGGUCGUCCUGGUCAUAACAGUGUUGACCUGUGUGUCGUGCUGCUGCUGCUGCUGUCGCAAGACCAAGAUGAGGGGCUCGAACAUUUGAGCAAAACGUCCUCGUGGUCAUACAAUCAAGAGACAGACAUUAGAGACAUUUCAGCCUCAUGCAGGGUGUGUUUGCUGGCACUAGAGGAGCCCAGCCCUUACACAACAAAGCAGCUGACAAACACAGAGAAGAAGGACGCCAGACACACCUGCUGCAGCUGCCAGGUUUUCAGGAGAAGCUACAUUCUUUGGAGAAUCCCUGCGCUUUACGGGGCAACGACAACAACAACGCUCAUGACCUACAGCGAAGGCAGGGCAACACAAAGUGUCUUUAAUAAUAAUGAGGGCAAAUACAUGGACUAUAAGAAUGUAUAUAACGAGCGAGUUUCACAGUGAGAGAUGAAGAGGAAAGCCAAACUGUUAAUGUGUUCUUUUGAAAAGGAGUCACUCUUAAAAAAGGAACAAUAUGUAAAAUAUUGACUGUAUUAAACCAUAAAAUGACCAUUGUUCAACUGAAAUGUGAGCUGCUUGACAAAGAUACUACAGCCAGUAUGUUUGUUCUUUCGAAAUCCGCCUUACAGACGAGACUCAGACUGCUCAUGAAGACGGAAACAAAGCGGAGUUGACGUCCUAAACCGCUCUGUGAGCAGAAACAGCAGUAAAUAUUGGAGAUGCAUUUGAAAGGUGAAGACAGUUUAGAGGCAAGAAGGACCCCAGUUCAAUAUUUCACUCAUUACAAGACGACUCGGCAGUGUUUUUGAAUCUGCACCGUCAUUUUUUAAUCACUAGAUAUUACUGUUGGAAGCAAAGUUACAUAUUGUUCCUCUAAAGCGUGAUCACUCAGACUUAGAUAGUUCCUCCAGAGGGAGGAGCUGUUCUGCAACAAGUGCAAGUGUUCCUUGACGUUUCACAAUGAAACCUAAAAGACAGUUCAAACCUGCCCUCUGCUGUACACAAGCUGAAAUGGAUUUUAUUUUGAAAAGCAGAGCAUGUAGUAUAUGUAGCAUGUGUAUAAACCUGCAUGUUAUAAAAGGUGCACAGGGUGAAGACUUCAUGUCAUGGUGUCACACUUUAAAUCUACAGAGUUAUAUGUAAUAAACAAA